UACGAAGGGGGCUAGCGUUGUUCGGAAUUACUGGGCGUAAAGCGUAUGCAGGCGGAUCAUUAAGUCGGGGGUGAAAUCCCGAGGCUCAACCUCGGAACUGCCUUCGAUACUGAUGAUCUUGAGUCCGGGAGAGGUGAGUGGAACUGCGAGUGUAGAGGUGAAAUUCGUAGAUAUUCGCAAGAACACCAGUGGCGAAGGCGGCUCACUGGCCCGGUACUGACGCUGAGGUGCGAAAGCGUGGGGAGCAAACAGG
rnacentral:rRNA from 1 species